rnacentral:rRNA from 1 species
UACAUGUGGGGCAAGCGUUGUUCGGAAUUACUGGGCAUAAAGGGUGCGUAGGCGGCUUGUCAAGUCACUGGUGAAAGUUUUCGGCCCAACCGGAAAAUUGCCUGUGAUACUGAUGAGCUUGAGUGCGUGAGGGGUGGGGGGAACGAGCAGUGUAGCGGUGAAAUGCGUAGAUAUUGCUCGGAAGGCCGGAGCCGAAGGGGCCCCACUGGUACGCAACUGACGCUGAGGCACGAAAGCGUGGGGAGCAAACAGGG